UACGUAGGCAGCGAGCGUUUGUUCGGAGUUACUGGGCGUAAAGGGUGUGUAGGCGGUUGUUUAAGUUUGGUGUGAAAUCUCCCGGCUCAACUGGGAGGGUGCGCCGAAUACUGAAUGACUUGGAGUGCGGGAGAGGGAAAGUGGAAUUCCUGGUGUAGCGGUGAAAUGCGUAGAUAUCAGGAGGAACACCGGUGGUGUAGACGGCUUUCUGGACCGUAACUGACGCUGAGACACGAAAGCGUGGGGUAGCAAACAGG
rnacentral:rRNA from 1 species